CCCUCCCGCCCGGCCCGCGGCUCAACCCCGGCGUCACCCAGGCCUGCGCCGUCUACCUAGGAAGGGACGGGGCCUGUCGGGGGCUUGACGGUGGCGCGGAAGGCCAGCUGCCGAGAAGCCGAGCAGAGCGCCCCAGGCCCGGCACCCUGGCUGGCCCGGCCCCGCCACGUCCAAGGCUCCCGCCCCCCGGAGGAAGCCGCGCGAGCACUCUGGGGGCGGGGAGAGAAAGACUGCUGAAGGGAAGGAGGUGCCACCAGGCGCUCUCUCGCGAGAGGGCCGAAGAGCCGUUUCGGCGGGGGCGUGUGCCUGCUGAGGACGUGUAAGGCCUCCGGAAGCUUCGGGCGUCACGUUAGGCGCUCUCACCGACUUAUCGUUUCCUGUUACAAAACCAGAACAUGGCCUGGAAAAUCCUCAUUGUUUACCUGUGACGUUAUUUCCAUGAAGAGUAAUCAUCCCAGAAACUAUUAGAGGGCCUUGGAAUAUAUUCAUCUGACCUAUUCUACCUAUCCCAUUUAAAGGAUAGCAUCUGAAGAUUUAAUAACAAAAAGCAGUUGAAUCAUUCCAAGCUGGAUAAUCAGAACCUCCAGGUUUGAUGCUUGAAGGAGAGUCUACUGUUGGGAAGAGUGGAUGGAUUAUGCAGCCCUGUCUUCUGAGAAUUCACUUUGUUCUUGGAGUUUUUCACUAUUUGCUGCCACCACCGCUUGGCCUCAAAGUAUAAGCAUGUUAACCCUUCUUUCCUUAAUACUUUACUUCAAAGCUGAGGAGAGACUGAAUUUGGAUCCUUUAGCAGUACAACUGGAAUAUUAUACAUAGUUUAGGGUAAGAUGGGUAUUUAAAAUUAUUUUUCUAAUAGGAGAAAAAACUGAAUGGAUAUUAAAAACAUAAAAUAAGGGUAAUCUUAUGUACAAAAUAUAACUACUCAUGUUCAACUUUUGUUUACUACAGAGAUGCCGCCUCCCUGUGGCAAAGGCCAUUUUUUAACUGGUCUUACCAAGGAAUAGCUCCUAGACAACAUCACUCUUUAAGUUCUGGCCUGAGCACAGAGGACAAGAGAGUUCACUUGCUUGCCUAUAUAAGGGUUUCUCAACCUUGGCACUACUAACAUUUUGAGCCAGAUAAUUUUUUUUUAAUUGAAGUAUAGUUGAUUUACAUUAUUAUGUUAGUUUCAGGUGUAUAGCAUAGUGAUUCAGUAUUUUUGCAGAUUGAACUCCAUUAUAGGUUAUUACAAGGUAAUGGCUAUAAUUCCCUGUGCUAUAUAGUAUAUCCCUCUUGCUUAUCUAUUUUAUACAUAGUAGUUUGUUAAUCCAUACCUCUAAUUUCUCCCUCUCCCUUUUGGUAUCCACAGGUUUGUUUUCUAUAUCUGUGAGUCUCUUUCUGUUUUGGAUAUACAUUCAUUUGUAUUAAUUUUUAGAUUCAAUAUAUAAGUGAUAUCAUACAGUAUUUGUCUUUUUCUGUAAGCCAGACACGUAAUUCUUUGUUGUGGGCAGCUGUGCUGUGCAUUGUAAGAUGUUUAGUAGCAUACUUGGCUUCUACCCACUACCUGCCAGCAGUACUCCACCCCUAGUUGUAACAACCCAGACCAUCUCUAAACAUUGACAAAUGCCCCUGGGGGGUAAAAUUAUGUCCCCUCCCCCCUUUCAUUGAGAAUCACUGGCCUAUAUAAGGGCUCUUCUGACAAUUCUGGUUUCCUGUCCGUCCCAUUUGACAGCAUGAAUCAUCUCUCCCUUAAAGACAGAAUUCCAGUUCCCCAGAGAAGAACAGCUUUGGUCUUGUUGGCCUCCACCAGGUUACCAUAUCACUGGUUAAUGGUAACCCCAAAUAUCUUACGAGAGAUACUACAUUAUAAAUAACAAGGACUUUAAUUUUAGUACCUAAAACAGCAAAUUACCAUCAACAUUUUAUAGGUAAGUUUACUGAGUUUCAGAAUUCUUCAAGUCAUAUCUUCAUAAGUAGGGUCAUUGAGGAUUUAUGAAAGUUAACUAUGUAUUCUGUAUAUAGCACUGUACUAGUGAUUGGGGCAAGGGAGAAGACUUCAGAAAUUCUAGAUGUGUUCAAGUGUGGAGGCAGACUAGGAGCUAGGAUGGAAGGUCUUCUUAUAGUGGACAGUAAAGAUGAGUGUGCCUCUGGUCGUGGCAUUCUAGAUAAUAAACUCAAAUUAUGAGUAAGCAAGACUUACAAAUAUUUGAUAUAUGUGCAAAGUGCAGUCACAGUGGCCUCUGUUGUUUCCUUUCUCAUUCUCUUUCUCCCUCCUCACCUUUAGAAUGUUUGGUUAUAUAGCAUUCCCAGUAUUUGACAUAUCAAAGGCAGGCUACAGACAGUAAUUUUGAAGAGGAUCUAAAGUAGGAGAUUUAAAUAUUAAACUUUCUAACUUGCAGGUAGAGAAUCUACUUUUUUAAUGUGCAUGUUUAUAAAAAUUUAUUUUUAAAAUAAAUGCACA